rnacentral:lncRNA from 1 species
CCGCCACUCCGUGCCUGCCGCAACGUCAACCCUCCCAUUUCUGCACUGUCGCCACCACCGGCCGGUAGCCCGUGCAACCACCUCAAGCGUCCUCCACCGCCCAUGCCAUGUCCCCUAUGUGACGCGGGAUCUGCCUCAUGGGGCGAGGAAACCAGAACCUCGGCCGCCAUCUCACAUGUGACGGCGUGCACCUCAGUGUGCGGUGAGAAUGAUGCAUUUUCCCAAUGGGACAUCUUUCUUUAGCAAACGUUAUGUUCUUACAAGGAUAGUUUACAAGAUCGUGGUAUUAUCAUAACAGGAGUAGCCAUUGAGACAUCAGGUGAUCCUUAUGAGCAGAACCAUCAUGACAAACAAACGGGUCAAUAGAAUUCAUAAAGUUGCAGUUUAUUUGCUCUAUUCAAUAAUGCUUUCAGUUUGAAUGAAAAUUGUUAACUAGACUCCCAUGAGUGCAGUGGUGUAUUAUUCUGCAAAAAGUAGUUUCUG